AGAAUAUAAGAACCCAUCUUUUAAUUUUUAACUAAAAAAGCUAAAAACUGGUUCUUAAAUAAGAGUUUUAAGAACCGCUUCUUAACUUUUUUAGUUAAAAGUUAAGAGACGGGUUCUUGUAUUCC
rfam:Brassica napus, WGS project CCCW01000000 data, contig: 6604